rnacentral:sRNA from 1 species
UUAGGCUCCCCAAAGAGAGGGGUGAGAACCCUCGACAGGGUUCGACAAAAUGGCCUGCCAUUUUGGACGGCCGCAGGCCGCCCGAAGGGUGAGCGCAGCGAAUCAAGCCCUCUCUCACCGCCA